CGGACGGGUGAGUAACGCGUGGGUAACCUGCCUCAUACAGGGGGAUAGCAGCUGGAAACGGCUGGUAAUACCGCAUAAGCGCACAGUACCACAUGGUACAGUGUGAAAAACUCCGGUGGUAUGAGAUGGACCCGCGUCUGAUUAGCUUGUUGGCGGGGUAACGGCCCACCAAGGCGACGAUCAGUAGCCGACCUGAGAGGGUGACCGGCCACAUUGGGACUGAGACACGGCCCAG
rnacentral:rRNA from 2 species